UGUUUCAUCAGAUUUAGUUGUCUUUUACUUCGCUUUCUUGGCAGAUUGGGCUUCUUAAUUGACUUCCUAUCUCAUGCUGCUGUUGUUGGAUUCAUGGGUGGUGCUGCCAUUACAAUUGCCCUUCAGCAACUUAAAGGGUUUUUAGGCAUCAAGAAGUUUACUAAGAAAACAGAUAUCAUAUCUGUGAUGAAAUCAGUGUGGCAUUCAGCCAACCAUGGAGUAAGUUUUCUUGCCACUAAAGAGCAUUUUACAUAAGAUGUCUUUUAUGGAUAACUUGAAAUUUAUUCCAUUUUGUUCUAUUUUUCUAAAAUUUGCAGUGGAACUGGCAGACAAUUCUCAUUGGAGCAGCCUUUUUAACUUUCCUUUUGUUCGCAAAGUACAUUGUAAGAGUCCUAAGUUCUGUGGACUAACUUAUGUAAGAAUUUGGUAGCCUUUAAUUUCCUUGGUUCUAAAGUAACUUGGCAACCAGGGUAAGAAGAACAAAAGGCUGUUCUGGGUACCUGCAAUUGCGCCGUUGAUUUCUGUCAUUCUUUCCACCUUCUUUGUCUACAUUACUCAUGCUGAAAAAAAGGGAGUCGCGAUUGUAAGUGCUUGUUUUAGGUGCCUCCUACUUUCAUUAAAAAAUUUCUAUUGGAACAUAAUGAUCAAUUUUUAAUCAUUUCUAUGACAACCUUACCAGGUAGGACACAUUGAGAAAGGAAUAAAUCCUCCUUCAGUCAAGGAAAUAUAUUUCACUGGUGACUAUCUCUUAAAAGGGCUUAGGACUGGUAUUGUAGCUGGCAUGAUUGCAUUGACGGUAAGCAAAUUAUUUAAUGAAAUGUUGAAGUAGGAAACCUUGAAAUUUUUCCAAUCGAUAUCCGAUGUUUACCUUGUGUUUCAUAGGAAGCUGUUGCAAUUGGAAGAACCUUUGCUUCAAUGAAGGACUACCAGUUGGACGGAAACAAAGAGAUGGUGGCACUUGGAGCUAUGAAUAUUGUUGGCUCAAUGACUUCCUGCUAUGUAGCAACAGGUAAGACAUAUGUACAAGAAAAUGGAGUUUGAGUAAACAUUAAUGUAUUUUAAACUUUCAACACAUAGGUUUCAUUUUUAAGCAGCCAAAUGCAUCAAUAUCAAAUCAUCUAAUUAUCUUUCAUCUGAUGCGCUAUCAUAUGUGGAUGUGUUAUGCUCCAUUAUCGGCCCAACCUAAUGAUGUAACAGGAAUUCUUCACUAAUAUAACUAUACUAUUCAGUUAUUUCUGUCAUUUAUAAUGGUUUGUCCAACUUAUCGAUCAACUAACCUCGUGCAGGUUCCUUCUCUCGCUCAGCUGUAAAUUACACGGCUGGCUGCCAAACUGCAUUUUCCAACAUUGUCAUGUCUGUCGUUGUGUUCCUAACUUUGGAAUUCAUAACCCCUCUUUUUAAGUAU
rnacentral:lncRNA from 1 species